rnacentral:rRNA from 1 species
AUAACGUUUUGAAAAGAACGCUAAUACCGCAUAACGUACCGGAAGGGCAUCCUUCCGGUACCAAAGGAGCAAUCCGCUGUAAGAUGGGCUCGCGUCCGAUUAGCCAGUUGGCGGGGUAACGGCCCACCAAAGCGACGAUCGGUAGCCGGACUGAGAGGUUGAUCGGCCACAUUGGGACUGAGACACGGCCCAGACUCCUACGGGAGGCAGCAGUGGGGGAUAUUGCACAAUGGGGGAAACCCUGAUGCAGCGACGCCGCGUGAGGGAAGAAGGUUUUCGGAUUGUAAACCUCUGUCUUCGGUGACGAAAAUGACGGUAGCCGAGGAGGAAGCCACGGCUAACUACGUGCCAGCAGCCGCGGUAAUACGUAGGUGGCAAGCGUUGUCCGGAAUUACUGGGUGUAAAGGGAGCGUAGGCGGGGAUACAAGUUGAAUGUUAAAACUAUGGGCUCAACCCAUAGUUGCGUUCAAAACUGUAUUUCUUGAGUGAAGUAGAGGUAAGCGGAAUUCCUAGUGUAGCGGUGAAAUGCGUAAAUAUUAGGAGGAACACCAGUGGCGAGGGCGGCUUACUGGGCUUUAACUGACGCUGAGGCUCGAAAGCGUGGGUAGCAAACAGGAUUAGAUACCCUGGUAGUCCACGCUGUAAAC